AAACCAGCACCUCAAGUGGUCAGGAGGAUUAUUGGGCCUAAAGCAUCCGUAGCCUGUUCUAUAAGUUUCCGGUUAAAUCCAUUAGCUCAACUAAUGGGCCGCCGACAAUACUGUAGAACUAGGGAGUGGGAGAGGUAGACGGUAUUCGGUAGGAAGGGGUAAAAUCCUUUGAUCUAUUGAGGACCACCUGUGGCGAAGGCGGUCUACCAGAACACGUUCGACGGUGAGGGAUGAAAGCUGGGGGAGCAAACCGGAUUAGAAACCCCAGUAGUCC
rnacentral:rRNA from 1 species